GCAAAAGCACUAUGGUCGAUGCACUGAGCACUAAGAACGUCGGUACUCGGUAGUCGCAAAAGGGUGUGUCCAACACCGAACCUUGGUAAGCCAAGGUCCGAUGCUGAAGAACACUUGUUAAUAGGCCUAUGCAUAACUCAACCAAGACUAGAUAAACCGUGAUCGGCCCAAACUGGUUUAAAUGGUUAGAUACUCGGUUAGUAUCCCUAAUUUAUGUGACAACGAAAUCAUAAACCGCACAACUAGGACUGCAAACGAGCCGAGCUGAGCCCGAGCUCGAUUAACUUAUGAGAACUCGAGCUUUGUUUUCAAAGCUCCAGCUCGGCUUGUUGGUAGGUUCUCAAGCUCGAGCUUAGCGUCACGGGCCAAAUAUUUGAAGAUCGCAAUGUUCUGGGUCGUGCUUGAACGCUUGGGUUACUGGCUAGUCCUGCACUUUAUCGGGGGGACGAAGUGUGUAUGUGCCUAGUCAUAUCUACGACGAAUGCA
rnacentral:lncRNA from 1 species